rnacentral:rRNA from 1 species
CUAAUACAUGCAAGUAGAACGCUGAAGAGAGGAGCUGCUCUUCUUGGAUGAGUUGCGAACGGGUGAGUAACGCGUAGGUAACCUGCCUGGUAGCGGGGGAUAACUAUUGGAAACGAUAGCUAAUACCGCAUAAAAUGGAUUAUCGCAUGAUAAUGCAUUGAAAGGUGCAAAUGCAUCACUACCAGAUGGACCUGCGUUGUAUUAGCUAGUUGGUGGGGUAACGGCUCACCAAGGCGACGAUACAUAGCCGACCUGAGAGGGUGAUCGGCCACACUGGGACUGAGACACGGCCCAGACUCCUACGGGAGGCAGCAGUAGGGAAUCUUCGGCAAUGGACGGAAGUCUGACCGAGCAACGCCGCGUGAGUGAAGAAGGUUUUCGGAUCGUAAAGCUCUGUUGUAAGAGAAGAACGAGUGUGAGAGUGGAAAGUUCACACUGUGACGGUAUCUUACCAGAAAGGGACGGCUAACUACGUGCCAGCAGCCGCGGUAAUACGUAGGUCCCGAGCGUUGUCCGGAUUUAUUGGGCGUAAAGCGAGCGCAGGCGGUUAGAUAAGUCUGAAGUUAAAGGCUGUGGCUUAACCAUAGUACGCUUUGGAAACUGUUUAACUUGAGUGCAAGAGGGGAGAGUGGAAUUCCAUGUGUAGCGGUGAAAUGCGUAGAUAUAUGGAGGAACACCGGUGGCGAAAGCGGCUCUCUGGCUUGUAACUGAC